AUCCUGGCUUCUUUUGAAGCCAUCAUAAAAAACUGAAAGAUGCGUU
rfam:Achromatium sp. WMS1 contig-115_27, whole genome shotgun sequence.